rnacentral:rRNA from 1 species
UACGUAGGUGGCAAGCGUUGUCCGGAUUUACUGGGCGUAAAGAGCGCGCAGGCGGUCGUUCAAGUCGCGUGUGAAAGCCCCCGGCUCAACUGGGGAGGGUCACGCGAUACUGAUCGACUCGAAGGCAGGAGAGGGUAGUGGAAUUCCCGGUGUAGUGGUGAAAUGCGUAGAUAUCGGGAGGAACACCAGUGGCGAAGGCGACUACCUGGCCUGUUCUUGACGCUGAGGGCG